rnacentral:rRNA from 1 species
AGUGAACGCUGGCGGUAGGCCUAACACGUGCAAGUCGAACGGCAGCACAGUAAGAGCUUGCUCUUACGGGUGGCGAGUGGCGGACGGGUGAGGAAUACAUCGGAAUCUACUUUUUCGUGGGGGAUAACGUAGGGAAACUUACGCUAAUACCGCAUACGACCUACGGGUGAAAGCAGGGGAUCUUCGGACCUUGCGCGAUUGAAUGAGCCGAUGUCGGAUUAGCUAGUUGGCGGGGUAAGGGCCCACCAAGGCGACGAUCCGUAGCUGGUCUGAGAGGAUGAUCAGCCACACUGGAACUGAGACACGGUCCAGACUCCUACGGGAGGCAGCAGUGGGGAAUAUUGGACAAUGGGCGCAAGCCUGAUCCAGCCAUACCGCGUGGGUGAAGAAGGCCUUCGGGUUGUAAAGCCCUUUUGUUGGGAAAGAAAAGCAGCAGGUUAAUACCCCGCUGUUCUGACGGUACCCAAAGAAUAAGCACCGGCUAACUUCGUG